UUUAAAUGUUUAUAUCCUGUUCAUCCCCUUAUAUCUCGAAAUGGCCCGAUCAGCCGCUAUAUAUAUGUUCCUAACCAUGUUUUGAGCCCAGUGCUGUUGUGUUGACUGUGUUUUUGAGCUCAGUUAGUCUCCAGACAAAUUAUUUCUUUUCCCACUUGUUUUUUUUUUCAUUUGCUGGAUCCUUACAUGACACUGAAGCUCUGUAGAUGAAGCCCAUGAGUUGCAGUUAAAAGAUCCAGAAGAACAUUUGAGCGUUAGAGUUCAUUGAUGAUCUUGGAAAUAAUGUUAUGAUGGGAGCCUGACAUGAAACUCCAUGGGCGGAUGAAGACCAUGAAUUGCAGUUGAAAGCUCCUUCUGCUGACGUUCAAAGUCGUCUUUGCCCUGCAGAGGAAGACACAGGAAGGUGAGAGGCGGCAUUCAGACGAGCUCAGAUGGAGGGAUGUCGUAAACGCCUUGUGUCCGCGGGUCCAUCUGAGGCGGGGGGACGUCGUACACUCCCUGGUUUCUGGCAGCGGGGAACAUCUGACCGGGGGGAAUAUCGUACACCUGAAACACAAAACAAACACGAUGAUAAACACCAAAUAUGUAAAACUCAUGUUUAUGAUCAUGAUGAACGAUUAAAUGUAUUUGUAUGUUUGAUUUAAAGGUAAAAGAAUAGGCCACGUUCAAACUACUAGAGGGCAGCAUAUCACCAAGAUAACCUCCAACUGCUGCUAACUGUAGCUGCUGUUAGCUAGUUAGCUCAGUUAACAGUGCAGUUAGCGGUUUAAUGUGAAAAUACAGGCCGGGACUGACUUCAGAGGAUAUCUCUGCAGUAAAAUACAUAGACGUCUUUGAUAUAAAAGCAACAUUAGUUCAAAAUUAUUUUAUUCUGCACCCUCAAACUGCAGCCUUUUAUUUUGUAGGAGCACUUCUAGUGUUAAUAACUAGCUUUAUACAAUGAAGAGAUGAAGUCCUGCCUCUUCCCUUUGUGCCACAUGGGACCGUUUUUUUUUGGAAAACAAAAAUGAUAAUGAUAAGAGACAAAUAUAGCCUGUUUUAAUUGUGCACAUUUGAUGUUUGUGAAUUUAAAAGAUAUUUUUUCAAGUCCAGAAAGUCACAGUUUGUCUUAAAGUUUGUAAAAUAUCAGUGAACACCAACGUGGCUGUCAGCUCGACACAGGAAAGGGACUAGAAAACGUGAAAUCACAGAAGAAAGUCUGUUCAUAUUUACAGGUAAAGCUACAAACAUACAAAAGGAAAGUUGGUCAGUAUUGUGAUUAAGCUGAUAUAUACGGUACCGGCUCUACAGGGUUUUGGUCUUCAGUUUCCUCAAGCUUAAAUGUCCUGUAACCUCGUCCUACAUGUCUUUAUUCUGACAUGUUUUGUGUUGCAAUAAGAGGAAAGUCAUGUAUUACAGGCUUAUAUUUCGUCAGUCUUAUGACAAAUACCAUAUUUGUGAUUCAAGUCAUGAUUCAAACAGGAUCAAAAGAUGAAUUUGUCUCUCGCCUUUUGCUAGCAUACAUGUUUUUUUAUGAACUAAGGUCCCAUCUCAGUCCCCCAGAGGGAGCACAGCAGGGUUUACAGGCUUAAACCCGAGAUGACGGGACAAAAAUGUAACUGUCAGGGAUCUUUUCUGAGAAAAUUGGGUCACUGCACAGAACAGGAUAUGUGGCAGAUUCAAAUACAGAACAGAGUGAAGAUAAAAAGACACAGCCCUGUGGUUGUGACCUCCUGCUGUGGUGACUGUAAUGUUUCUGGUUUGCUCGAAUGAUCCAUUUACUUUAUUUCAGAUGUCAACAGUAGCAGGUCGGAGCAAAAUGUGAUGUGACUCUAAUUUUCAUGACCAACAUUUGAUGUGAGUUGAUUAAAAACAGAAAAAAUAA